rnacentral:rRNA from 1 species
AUUGAACGCUGGCGGCAGGCCUAACACAUGCAAGUCGAACGGUAACAGAAAGCAGCUUGCUGCUUUGCUGACGAGUGGCGGACGGGUGAGCAAUGUCUGGGAAACUGCCUGAUGGAGGGGGAUAACUACUGGAAACGGUAGCUAAUACCGCAUAACGUCGCAAGACCAAAGAGGGGGACCUUCGUGCCUCUUGCCAUCGGAUGUGCCCAGAUGGGAUUAGCUAGUAGGUGGGGGAAAGGCUCACCUAGGCGACGAUCCCUAGCUGGUCUGAGAGGAUGACCAGCCACACUGGAACUGAGACACGGUACAGACUCCUAGGGGAGGCAGCGGUGGGGAAUAUUGCACAAUGGGCGCAAGCCUGAUGCAGCAAUGCCGCGUGUAUGAAGAAGGCCUUCGGGUUGUAAAGUACUUUCAGCGGGGAGGAAGGAAGUAAAGUUAAUCCCUUUGCUCAUUGACGUUACCCGCAGAAGAAGCACCGGCUAACUCCGUG